rnacentral:rRNA from 1 species
UAGGGAAUCUUCGGCAAUGGGGGCAACCCUGACCGAGCAACGCCGCGUGAGUGAAGAAGGUUUUCGGCUCGUAAAGCUCUGUUGUUAAAGAAGAACACGUAUGAGAGUAACUGUUCAUUCGAUGACGGUAUCUAACCAGCAAGUCACGGCUAACUACGUGCCAG